CGGCUCCCGCUUUCCCGGCCGCCGAGCCCGAGCCGCCGUGGGCGGGGCCUGCGGUGAUUGGCGGGCGGGCGGGGAGGUCGGAAGUACUUUGUUUUUUAUGCUAAUGAGGGAGUGGGGCUUGUCCGUAUUUACGUUGAGGCGGGAGCCGCCGCCCUUCAUUCACCCACAUGGUCCUUCGAGGUGCUGCCGCCGCUGCCCGACCUGCGCCUUCGCGCCACUUCGCGCCCUCGGGCGAGGCCGAGGGGGUGGGGACGACCCCCGCCGCGCCGCCGCGGCUCGCGCCCCCUCGCGAAGCCCCCUCCGCGGGGCGGGCCGGCCGGCUGGCCGCACCCCCGGCCUGGGGCCUCCGGUCGUAGUAAAGCGGAGGCGGGUGGGGAGGCGGGAGCGAGAGCCCGCGGCGGGCGAGGCGAAGAUGGUGGCGGCUACUCCUCCUGUCAUACACGUGGACCUAACUGCACCAAAAGCUUUUCUAAGGAUAUUUGCUGAGAAGGAAGUUUUCCCGAGUGGAGCUUCAGAACCAUCACUAACAAAAAGAGAGCUGUCAAAGAUGGAGACUUAUUCCUUAAACCCGUCUCAGCCCCAGGCAGAAGACAUGGACACGCAAGCCUGAAAAACUCCGCGCUAAACCAACCAGGGAGCUCUGGGACUCUGGUGGGAGCCAAGGCAGUCCAUCAGCUACCCUAUAGUGAGGCCCUGGUCCUGUAUGAAGCACCCCCAGCAUUUGGAGGAUGGAUAACUGCUGUAAUGGUCAUUAGCGACAUCAACAUCAACCACUGCAGAGAAAGGACCCAGCAGAGCCAUAUCCCACCCCAAUUCUGGGUACAUUUUUUAAAAAGUCACAAAAAAUUAUAAAGCAUCUAUUAAAAAAUUAUGUAUAAUCUGUUUUGUUUUCUGAUACAUGAAGGAUUUAUUGUUAUUAUUCUCUGAUUUCUUACCAAUUAAAAUUAUCAAAUAGCAUAGCUAAUAGCGACUUAUUAAUAUUGACUUAAAAUCUUUUAGUCUGUUUUCUAUAUACUUACCAGUAUUCUUUUUUCUUGAACAAUUUCCUCCUAUUUUCCAAAUAGAAUUUACUGAAAAUGUGAGACAAUAUAUUUUCCAUACAAAGAGAAAGUAUAUUAGUUUAAAACAGAAGCCAUACAUAGUAUCUAUUUAUUAUUUUCAGCAUUUUUUUCCUUUAUAGGAUUGUGUUUCUCACAGAUGUUUAUGUCUUGAUCUGCAAGAGUGAAUUAGCCGGGUAUUGCCACUUUUGAACAGUUGGUGGCUCCAGUGCUUUGCAACUGUCUUGUAAGUGCUGCACCGAAAUAGGCAAGCUCUCUUUUAAGUGUUCAAUGCAGAAUUUGAAAACAAAAAUGCAUUUGAAUGAAUAUUGUGCAUUUAACCGGAAACUGAAUGUCAUAUCAGUUAUGAAUUCGAAAGGAAAGUUUUAAAACUAACAUGUGAUUCAGCCUGUGUAAUAUAGUGUGAAUACACAUUAGUACAUUCACUAAGUGCACUUAAAAGGUCAAAAGUGUUCCACCAGAGACAUAAUGUAAGCCACAAAUGUAAUUUAAAAAAUUUCCAGUAGUCACAUUAAAAAAAUGAGAAAUUAAUAUUAAUUUGGUGAAAUUAAU
ensembl:lncRNA